AAACCGUGAUGAGGACAUUCCCUAAUGUAGCCUUUAUAGCGAUCCCAAGCUUCAUGAAAAUAUUCGCCUCCUUUUUGUUCAAAUCUAUAUAUCUUGUCUCUAAAGAAGUUU
rnacentral:snoRNA from 1 species